rnacentral:rRNA from 1 species
UACGUAGGGGGCAAGCGUUGUCCGGAUUCAUUGGGCGUAAAGAGCGUGUAGGCGGCCAGGUAGGUCGGUUGUGAAAACUGGAGGCUCAACCUUCAGAGGUCGACCGAAACCAUCUGGCUAGAGUCCGGGAGAGGAGAGUGGAAUUCCUGGUGUAGCGGUGAAAUGCGCAGAUAUCAGGAAGAACACCCGUGGCGAAAGCGGCUCUCUGGACCGAUACUGACGCUGAGGAGCGAAAGCGUGGGGAGCGAACCGG